AUUGAACGCUGGCGGCAGGCCUAACACAUGCAAGUCGAACGAGUGGCGGACGGGUGAGUAAUGUCUAGGAAACUGCCCGAUGACGGGGGAUAACUACUGGAAACGGUAGCUAAUCCCGCAAACCAUCGGAUUUGCCCAGCUGGUAUUAGCUAUUAGGUGGGGUAAAGGCUAACCUAGGAGACGAUCCCUAGCUGGUCUGAGAGGUUGACCGGCAAAACUGGAACGGAGACAGGGUCAAGACUCCUACGGGAGGAAGCAGUGGGGAAUAUUGCACAAUGGGCGAAAGCCGGAUGCAGCAAUGCCGCGUGUAUGAAGAAGGCCUUCGGGUUGUAAAGUACUUUCAGCGGGGAGGCGUUACCCGAAGAAGAAGCACCGGCUAACUCCGUGCCAGCAGCCGCGGUAAUUC
rnacentral:rRNA from 1 species